UACAUGGCUCCUCCUGCUCUACCUCAGUGGUACAGGUGGUACCAGAGCCUGCAAACAUUCUGGGUGUUCCCAGGAGCUGUGAGACCCACCCCUGGGAGGGUGGAUAGCCUCAAGCCAAUACAGCACGUUGGCUUUACUCUUUGUCCUGUGAUGAGGUUUCCACCCUAAAGAGCCAACAGUUCCUGUCUUCUCUGAAGAAGCACCUGUUGAAAAUUGUCCAUGAAGGUGAAAUCACUUGCCAUGGCUGAGCGCAGUGCAAGGGCUGGUGUCUGUUAUCACAUGGUUCAGGCAGCUAACAAUUAACUGCUCAGAAGCAAAGGAUAAAUGUAAAAAGAUGAAGCCACUCAUUUAUGGGAAAGCAAACGUGCUUGGAAAGCAGCAGCAAACACUCUGCUUGAUCCACUGUCCAAAAGAACUUCAAGUGUGUGAAAGAGUACAAGAACUUAUGUAAAUAAGUAUGUUUUUGUAAGCCCUGUUCUUACAAAACCUUAAUAUUCUGGACUCACGUUGCUAACUUUGUGACUUGAGGGAGUAGAGCAGCUGGUCUGUCACAAAAGAGUGACCCAACCUCUUGGACACAACAUAGACUAAACAAUGAUAGCCCACUUUCAGAACCUGGCAGAAGUGUCCCAGCCUCACCCCAUCCUUCUUUAACCACAGGCUCCCUUCCUUGAUCUCUUUAUUUAACAUUCACCACCUGCUUACUGCUCACUGCCUAAAAGCUGCCUUAGUUUCUGGAGUUGCAAGAAUGAUGUUUCUCUCACAAUCCAAACCCCUUGGUUUUAUCAGAAAAGAAUGGAACCAUCUUUUGCUCUUUCUCAUAAUUUGUUUGAACAAACAAUGCUUUCAAGAAGAAACAAAAGACACUCACAUAACCGAACAAAUGAAUAAAGACAAAUUCCACUUGA